GACGAACGCUGGCGGCGUGCUUAACACAUGCAAGUCGAACGAUGAACCACUUCGGUGGGGAUUAGUGGCGAACGGGUGAGUAACACGUGGGCAAUCUGCCCUGCACUCUGGGACAAGCCCUGGAAACGGGGUCUAAUACCGGAUACCACCACCGCAGGCAUCUGUGGUGGUUGAAAGCUCCGGCGGUGCAGGAUGAGCCCGCGGCCUAUCAGCUUGUUGGUGAGGUAGAAGCUCACCAAGGCGACGACGGGUAGCCGGCCUGAGAGGGCGACCGGCCACACUGGGACUGAGACACGGCCCAGACUCCUACGGGAGGCAGCAGUGGGGAAUAUUGCACAAUGGGCGAAAGCCUGAUGCAGCGACGCCGCGU
rnacentral:rRNA from 1 species